AGCGCGCGUAGGUGGUUUGUUUAAGUUGGAUGUGAAAUCCCCGGGCUCAACCUGGGAACUGCAUUCAAAACUGACUGACUAGAGUAUGGUAGAGGGUGGUGGAAUUUUCCUGUGUAGCGGUGAAAUGCGUAGAUAUAGGAAGGAACACCAGUGGCGAAGGCGACCACCUGGACUGAUACUGACACUGAGGUGCGAAAGCGUGGGGAGCAAACAGGAUUAGAUACCCGAGU
rnacentral:rRNA from 1 species